rnacentral:lncRNA from 1 species
AUGUCCCGAAGAGGCCGAUCCCUACAGACGGAAGACAGGGUCCUUUUCUGCCAUGGAGACGUCAGGUGGAAGAGCCCCUACUCCGGAGAGGAGAAGCUCUCAGUCUACCCCCAAGCCUCAUCUGCCACCUUCUCCAGCUACCACUGGGCUGCCCGGAAGAGAGCAGCAUGGUCAGAACAGCACAGCAGCCCAUCAAGAAGCCCGGAGGUGAUCCGAGAGCUACCUGGCUUCAUAGCCUUGGCUUUUGGCCUCAGUGGCCGGAGGAAACUCCUCAGCCUGGAGCUUGAGGCUCUUGGAGGCGCCUUGGAGGGGAUGGAGUUGAACUCAACCUUCCAGUCCCGGACACCUCGCACAUGCUCCGCGGCCGCACGCUCCGCGGCGGGAAGCCAGCGGGCAUCGGGACCGACUGCCGACCAACCUCCAGGCCCCGCGAUGUGCCCCGCGCGAGCUGGCACGUACACACCCCUUCUUCGCGGCGCCCUGGCAGUUUCUCAAAAACAGACCCUGUGGUUCCUCCCCGUGUGGUUUCCAUUCCAGGCACUGCUGAGCGAAGAAAAUGACUUGGAAGUGCCCACUAGAAAUAGAGUUCGGGAAUAAAAAGGUAUUUUUCGGGACACCUGGGUAGCUCAGCCGGUUAAGCUUUCAACUCUUGAUUUUUGGCUUUGGUCAUGAUCUUAGGGUUCUGGGACCGAGCCCUGUGUUGGGAGAUCUGCACUGAGCAUGGGCAUGGGCAUGGACGCUGCUUCGGAUUCUUUAUCUCCCUUUCUCUCUGCCCCUCUCCCCGCCCCCCCCACCUCCUGCUUACAAGCUUGCUUGCUUUCUUAAAAAAUAAAUAAAUAAAUAAAUUUUCAGACUUGC